GACGAACGCUGGCGGCGUGCUUAACACAUGCAAGUCGAACGGAAAGGCCCUGCUUUUGUGGGGUGCUCGAGUGGCGAACGGGUGAGUAACACGUGAGUAACCUGCCCUUGACUUUGGGAUAACUUCAGGAAACUGGGGCUAAUACCGGAUAGGAGCUCCUGCUGCAUGGUGGGGGUUGGAAAGUUUCGGCGGUUGGGGAUGGACUCGCGGCUUAUCAGCUUGUUGGUGGGGUAGUGGCUUACCAAGGCUUUGACGGGUAGCCGGCCUGAGAGGGUGACCGGACAUUGGGGGAGAGAGACGGCGCAGAGACCUCCGGGGGGGAGCGGUGUGGGGAAUUGGACAAUGGGGGGGGGCGUGAGGGGGCAAAGCCGCGUGGGGGAGGGCGGGGUUUGGGGUGUGAAACGCUUUUGCCCGUGUGGAAAGGUGGGUGAGGGGAAAUGGUGAAGAAAAACAGGGUAAAACCGU
rnacentral:rRNA from 1 species